GAGUGUGAGGGUUGUCUGUCUAUGGCAUCUGUCACUCCAUUGAUUGCUGGUGCAAUUUGCCUGAUCUGACUGGCUAGGCAAGUGUACUGUUCCUCACUCAUAACUCCAUAUGAGUCCUUCCCAAACCUGUGUUUGGUUGAAGAAGACAACCUUCCCUGAUAGAGGAGGUCCAUUCUUCAGUCAAGAAUAUGAGUAGUCAGGUGUGGUGGCGCACACCUGUAGUCCCAGCACUUGGGAGGCAGAGGCAG
rnacentral:sRNA from 1 species